rnacentral:rRNA from 2 species
GAUGAACGCUAGUUACAGGCUUAACACAUGCAAGUCGAGGGGCAGCAUGGAAGAAGCUUGCUUCUUCUGAUGGCGACCGGCGCACGGGUGCGUAACGCGUAUCAAACCUGCCUCAUACUCGGGGAUAGCCUUGCGAAAGUAAGAUUAAUACCCGAUGUUGUUAUGUUACCGCAUGGUGAUAUAACCAAAGAUUUAUCGGUAUGAGAUGGUGAUGCGUCCGAUUAGGUAGUAGGCGGGGUAACGGCCCACCUAGCCUUCGAUCGGUAGGGGUUCUGAGAGGAAGGUCCCCCACACUGGAACUGAGACACGGUCCAGACUCCUACGGGAGGCAGCAGUGAGGAAUAUUGGUCAAUGGACGAAAGUCUGAACCAGCCAAGUAGCGUGCAGGAUGACGGCCCUCUGGGUUGUAAACUGCUUUUAGUUGGGAAUAAAAAAGAGGACGUGUCCUCUAUUGUAUGACCUUCAGAAAAAGG